rnacentral:misc_RNA from 1 species
CGAAGGCGUUGGAAUUCAGACCUAACAUCGCUUAUAUGGGCAACCAGUGUAGGCUUGCAUCCAAAACCCUAAUCAGACGAGUUCUUGAAAAGAAAACGCUCCGGCGGAAAACCCUAGGCACCCUUUAUCUAAUUCAGCAAUUGCAGAGCCCCACGAAAAGUAACGGAGUCAAAAUUCAACCGCCUCCAAUAAGAAACGCAGAGAAUACCAGAGAACGAAUAAUAUCUGGCGAUCGAGG